GACGAACGCUGGCGGCGUGCCUAAUACAUGCAAGUCGAGCGAAGUUUUUCUGGUGCUUGCACUAGAAACACUUAGCGGCGAACGGGUGAGUAAAACGUAAAGAACCUGCCUCAUAGACGGGGACAACUAUUGGAAACGAUAGCUAAUACCGGAUAACAGUAUUUCUCGCAUGGGAGAUAUUUAAAAGUUGGUUAUGCUAAAACUAUGAGAUGGCUUUGCGGUGCAUUAGCUAGUUGGUGGGGUAAAGGCCCACCAAGGCGACGAUGCAUAGCCGACCUGAGAGGGUGAUCGGCCACACUGGGACUGAGACACGGCCCAGACUCCUACGGGAGGCAGCAGUAGGGAAUCUUCCGCAAUGGGCGAAAGCCUGACGGAGCAACGCCGCGUGAGUGAAGAAGGAUUUCGGUUCGUAAAACUCUGUUGUUAGGGAAGAAUGGAUAUGUAGUAACUAUACAUGUAAGAGACGGUACCUAACCAGAAAGCCACGGCUAACUACGUG
rnacentral:rRNA from 1 species